rnacentral:rRNA from 1 species
ACGAACGCUGGCGGCGUGCUUAACACAUGCAAGUCGAGCGAGGUCCAACCAGUGGCAACACUGGGGAAGACCUAGCGGCGAACGGGUGAGUAACACGUGAGAAACCUGCCCCGAAGUCUGGGAUAAGCCGAGGAAACUUGGUCUAACACCGGAUGCCUUCCUCUGAUCGCUAUGGUCAGUCGAAGAAAGAAUUUCGCUUCGGGAGGGUCUCGCGGCCUAUCAGCUUGUUGGCGGUGGGUAACGGCCCACCAAGGCGUCGACGGGUAGCUGGUCUGAGAGGACGAUCAGCCACACUGGGACUGAGACACGGCCCAGACUCCUACGGGUAGGCAGCCAGUGGGGAAUAUUGCGCAAUGGGCGAAAGCCUGACGCAGCAACGCCGCGUGCGGGAUGAAGGCCUUCGGGUUGUAAACCGCUUUCAGUGGGGACGAAAUUGACGGUACCCACAGAAGAAGCCCCGGCCAACUACGUGCCAGCAGCCCGCUGGUAACACGUAGGGGGCGAGCGUUGUCCGGAUUUAUUGGGCGUAAAGAGCGCGUAGGCGGCAAUCAAGUAGUCGUGUGAAAAUCUCCGCAGGCUCUAACCUCGGAUACGCGUCAGCUGAUACUGCUUUGCUAGAGUGCCGGUAGGGGAGCAUGGAAUUCCUUGGUGUAGCGGUGAAAUGCAAUGCGUAGAUAUCAAGAGGAACACCUGAGUGCGAAGGCAGGGUGGCUCUGGGCCUGACACUGACGCUGAUGAGGCGAAAGCCAGGGGAGCAAACGGGAUUAGAUACCCUGGUAGUCCACGCCGUAAACGUUGGGUACUAGGUGUGGGGCCUUAUCAACGGGUUCCGUGCCGCAGCUAACGCAUUAAGUACCCACCGCCUGGGGAGUACGGCCGCAAGGCUAAAACUCAAAGGAAUUGACAGGGGCCCGCACAAGCGGCGGAGCAUGUUGCUUAAUUCGAGGCAACGCGAAGAACCUUACCUGGGUUGAACUACGCGGGAAAAGCCACAGAGAUGUGGUGUCCUUCGGGGUCCGCGAUAGGUGGUGCAUGGCUGCCGUCAGCUCGUGUCGUGAGAUGUUGGGUUAAGUCCCGCAACGAGCGCAACCCUUGUCCUAUGUUGCCAGCGUGGUAAUGCCGGGGACUCGUAGGAGACUGCCGGGGUCAACUCGGAGGAAGUGUGGGGGACGACGUCAAGUCAUCAUGCCCCUUAUGUCCAGGGCUGCAAACAUGCUACAAUGGCCGGUACAAAGGGCUGCUAUACCGCGAGGUGGAGCGUAAUCCCAUAAAGCCGGUCUCAGUUCGGAUUGGAGUCUGCAACUCGACUCCAUGAAGUCGGAGUCGCUAGUAAUCCCGGAUCAGCAACGCCGGGGUGAAUACGUUCCCGGGCCUUGUACACACCGCCCGUCACACCACGAAAGUCGGUAACACCCGAAGUCAGUGGCCUAACCCUCUGGGAAGGAGCUGCCGAAGGUGGGAUUGGCGAUUGGGGUG